UUACUCUUAAUCGAGGAAUCCCUUCGGGGACAAGGUGACAGGUGGUGCAUGGUUGUCGUCAGCUCGUGUCGUGAGAUGUUGGGUUAAGUCCCGCAACGAGCGCAACCCUUGUCGUUAGUUACUACCAUUAAGUUGAGGACUCUAGCGAGACUGCCUGGGUUAACCAGGAGGAAGGUGGGGAUGACGUCAAAUCAUCAUGCCCCUUAUGUGUAGGGCUACACACGUGCUACAAUGGCUGGUACAGAGAGAUGCAAUACCGCGAGGUGGAGCCAAACUUAAAAACCAGUCUCAGUUCGGAUUGUAGGCUGAAACUCGCCUACAUGAAGCUGGAGUUACUAGUAAUCGCGAAUCAGAAUGUCGCGGUGAAUACGUUCCCGGGUCUUGUACACACCG
rnacentral:rRNA from 1 species